rnacentral:rRNA from 1 species
CAGGUCUUGACAUCCUCUGAUAACCCUAGAGAUAGGGCGUUCCCUUCGGGGACAGAGUGACAGGUGGUGCAUGGUUGUCGUCAGCUCGUGUCGUGAGAUGUUGGGUUAAGUCCCGCAACGAGCGCAACCCUUGAUCUUAGUUGCCAGCAUUUAGUUGGGCACUCUAAGGUGACUGCCGGUGACAAACCGGAGGAAGGUGGGGAUGACGUCAAAUCAUCAUGCCCCUUAUGACCUGGGCUACACACGUGCUACAAUGGAUAGUACAAAGGGUUGCAAGACCGCGAGGUGGAGCUAAUCCCAUAAAACUAUUCUCAGUUCGGAUUGUAGGCUGCAACUCGCCUACAUGAAGCCGGAAUCACUAGUAAUCGCGGAUCAGCAUGCCGCGGUGAAUACGUUCCC